rnacentral:rRNA from 4 species
GGGUUGUGAGGUUAAGCGACUAAGCGUACACGGUGGAUGCCCUGGCAGUCAGAGGCGAUGAAGGGCGUGCUAAUCUGCGAUAAGCGCCGGUAAGGUGAUAUGAACCGUUAUAACCGGCGAUACCCGAAUGGGGAAACCCAGUGUGAUUCGUCACACUAUCAUUAACUGAAUCCAUAGGUUAAUGAGGCGAACCGGGGGAACUGAAACAUCUAAGUACCCCGAGGAAAAGAAAUCAACCGAGAUUCCCCCAGUAGCGGCGAGCGAACGGGGAGGAGCCCAGAGCCUGAAUCAGCAUGUGUGUUAGUGGAAGCGUCUGGAAAGGCGCGCGAUACAGGGUGACAGCCCCGUACACAAAAGCGCAUGUGCUGUGAGCUCGAUGAGUAGGGCGGGACACGUGGUAUCCUGUCUGAAUAUGGGGGGACCAUCCUCCAAGGCUAAAUACUCCUGACUGACCGAUAGUGAACCAGUACCGUGAGGGAAAGGCGAAAAGAACCCCGGCGAGGGGAGUGAAAAAGAACCUGAAACCGUG